UACGAAGGAGCUAGCGUUGUUCGGAAUUACUGGGCGUAAAGCGCACGUAGGCGGAUUGCUAAGUCAGGGGUGAAAUCCCGGGGCUCAACCUCGGAACUGCCUUUGAUACUGACAAUCUCGAGUCCGAUAGAGGUGGGUGGAAUUCCUAGUGUAGAGGUGAAAUUCGUAGAUAUUAGGAAGAACACCGGUGGCGAAGGCGGCCCACUGGAUCGGUACUGACGCUGAGGUGCGAAAGCGUGGGGAGCAAACA
rnacentral:rRNA from 1 species